UGGUAGUNCACGCCGUAAACGAUGAGUGCUAGGUGUUAGACCCUUUCCGGGGUUUAGUGCCGCAGCUAACGCAUUAAGCACUCCGCCUGGGGAGUACGACCGCAAGGUUGAAACUCAAAGGAAUUGACGGGGGCCCGCACAAGCGGUGGAGCAUGUGGUUUAAUUCGAAGCAACGCGAAGAACCUUACCAGGUCUUGACAUCCCUCUGACCGCUCUAGAGAUAGAGUUUUCCUUCGGGACAGAGGUGACAGGUGGUGCAUGGUUGUCGUCAGCUCGUGUCGUGAGAUGUUGGGUUAAGUNNNNNAACGAGCGCAACCCCUAUUGUUAGUUGCCAUCAUUUAGUUGGGCACUCUAGCGAGACUGCCGGUAAUAAACCGGAGGAAGGUGGGGAUGACGUCAAAUCAUCAUGCCCCUUAUGACCUGGGCUACACACGUGCUACAAUGGCUGGUACAACGAGUCGCAAGCCGGUGACGGCAAGCUAAUCUCUUAAGGCCAGUCUCAGUUCGGAUUGUAGGCUGC
rnacentral:rRNA from 1 species